rnacentral:rRNA from 1 species
UACGUAGGGGGCGAGCGUUGUCCGGAAUGAUUGGGCGUAAAGGGCGUGUAGGCGGCUUAAUAAGUCUGAAGUGAAAGUCCUGCUUUCAAGGUGGGAAUUGCUUUGGAUACUGAUAAGCUAGAGUGCAGGAGAGGUUAUCGGAAUUCCCGGUGUAGCGGUGAAAUGCGUAGAGAUCGGGAGGAACACCAGUGGCGAAGGCGACUUUCUGGUCUGUAACUGACGCUGAGGCGCGAAAGCGUGGGGAGCAAACAGG